rnacentral:rRNA from 1 species
CCUACGGGAGGCAGCAGUGAGGAAUAUUGGUCAAUGGACGAGAGUCUGAACCAGCCAAGUAGCGUGAAGGAUGACUGCCCUAUGGGUUGUAAACUUCUUUUAUAAAGGAAUAAAACGAGGCACGUGUGCCUUUUUGCAUGUACUUUAUGAAUAAGGAUCGGCUAACUCCGUGCCAGCAGCCGCGGUAAUACGGAGGAGCCGAGCGUUAUCCGGAUUUAUUGGGUUUAAAGGGAGCGUAGAUGGGUUGUUAAGUCAGUUGUGAAAGUUUGCGGCUCAACCGUAAAAUUGCAAUUGAUACUGGCAGUCGUGAGUACAGUUGAGGUAGGCGGAAUUCGUGGUGUAGCGGUGAAAUGCUUAGAUAUCACGAAGAACCCCGAUUGCGAAGGCAGCUUACUAAACUGUGACUGACAUUGAUGCUCGAAAGUGUGGGUAUCAAACAGGAUUAGAUACCCUUGUAGUC